CAGAGAAUUUAAGGACAAACCCUGGAAACAGACACAACUCCUCAGUGAAAUAACACUACCCAAAAUUAUGCUAGAGAGGCAGAGCAUCCCAAAGGCUCAGAAAAUAAGACAGGCACAUGAGAGAGAACUGCUCCAAAUUAAAGAUCAUCGGGAGCGAAUGAUUCGAGGAAGGGAACUUCUACAACAAAGGCUCAAAGAAAGAACCUUGAGAAAAAGCCUGAGCCAGAUCCCACUUCCUGAGAAGCAUGAUCAAGUAAAGAAACAGAGUAAAGAGUUUGAGAGGGUAGUUGCAUACCCACUUUUCCAGCCAUCCAGUACCAGUCGAAUUAAAGUGGAUAUUCUUAUGGAAAAAUCUCAGGACGAAGAGGACUUGAGCACAAUCAUAAGACCUUUUGGAAGGAGAUUCUUAGCUGUACCACCUUUUCUGAGAACACAAAUAGGAAAAAUAAAGAAUCCAUAAAGUUUCAGAGCUUUGCUGGC
rnacentral:lncRNA from 1 species